GGGCGGACCUAGCCAAGUGGAUUAAGGCAG
rnacentral:tRNA from 1 species